rnacentral:lncRNA from 1 species
UGGAGACACUCAAUAAAUUAUUUUGCUAAACCAACUAUGAUGUAAACCAACUUAUCAACAUGAACUUCUUGAAUAGAAAAUCUGAAAAUUGUGCUCUAGAUUGAAUUAUUGAGCAAAUUACCUCGCAAAACACCAUAUUGUGGGUUAAUAAUAAUCGCACAUGUAACUAUCUCAUAGAUGCAUCUUAUGUGGUAUACAUGGCAAAUGAAUGAGCCCAUAUUCACCUUUGAUAUUUCCAGAAUUCAUGGGAUUUAAUCCCAACUUUAGUUUAUCUCUUAAUUAAUGAGAACAGGCAAUAUAAGAGGAUUCGUAAAUGCGUCUGCAUUUGAUUUGCUAUUCUUUGCAAAUGGAUAAAUUUGCACCUCUUUUUUACAAAUAGAGGUAUGUGGAUCAAGAUGAGAUAAUGAUGGAUUUUUCCACAAAAUUUCCCGUUUGGUUUCACCAGCUUCUCCCCCAUAAUCGCACAUGUAACUAUCUCAUAGAUGCAUCUUAUGUGGUAUACAUGGCAAAUGAAUGAGCCCAUAUUCACCUUUGAUAUUUCCAGAAUUCAUGCGAUUCAACCCCAACUUUAGUCAGUCAAUUAAUUAUAAGAACAAGCAAUGUAAGAGAAUUCAUAAAGAAAUUUCUAGUUCUUUAAUAUUUACCCAUGUGAAUUCUCUAUUAUUUUUGCACAGCAUACUUAAAUUGAUAUGGCUAAACCAUGUAUGCUAACUGAACAAAUUAUCAUUAUUGAUAAAGUUCAGGUUACACCAUGAUAUGUGCAAUUAUCAAUGAACUUUAGAGACGGGUAGGGUGGGUUGGUGAGAAUGGAGAAGGUUGAGAAGGAAUUUUGAAAAAUAUUUUCUCUUCUCUUAAUAAGGAAAACAUUUUCCUACAAUUGAAAAAAAUAAAUUAAUAAAGAAAAUAUUUUCUAAAACAUUUAAGCCAACUAAACAUAAAAAAAUUAAAAAAAAAAUUUCAGAAAUAUUUUCCUUUCUACCGAACACCCAAAGUCUCUCACAUUUUUAUGUUCAUUGACUUUUCCUAGUAGAAGUGUAGGACAGAGACAAAACAAUUUUAUAAUACUUAAGGUGCCUUAUGUUCUUUUUCCAUAACAAAACAGUUGCUUUCCAAAGUUCUUGAUAUUACAAAACUAAUUGGAAUUGUUUGCCGCAUCUGUGUAGCCUAACUGAACAAAGCGGGUGAAAAUCAUAUAAGCUAAUUGUCCACAUUUAAUGUGACCAAGAAUAUUAAGAUUGAUUUCUUGCUACAUGUCAGUAGACCUAUGUAUUUGUAUUGGUGAGAGAUUCCGGUGGAAUAGGUGUCUGCCUACAUGUGUAGUGUUAACAUUCUUGCAUCUCACCCAGUGAAAUAGUUGAAUUAUGUAUAUCGAGUGAUUACAUUAGCUCUCGCUGAUUUUAUUUAAGCUAUACAUGACACUGUAUUUACCUUUGGGCCAAUUUAUUGCACUAUCUGGUCCCCAAUAAGAAGAUAGCACUGAUAUACCUGGUUUUUUUUUUCUUUUUGAAAUGGCACGGUAAAUACUCUAUGCCUUUCUAUUUUAUACGAGGGUAUUUGAUUAGAUAUUGACUUUAAAGUGGUAAUGACAUCUAUACUGUUCUUGAGACUAAGGGGCGUCGAUAUACAAAAUAUCCCACGUAAUGGAGAAAGAUUACACCUUAAGAGGAUAUAUAUAAACAAUAUAUUUUGAUGUAAGCCUAAUUUGAUGCAAACGUAUUAUUUACUGAUAGAAGUAGGUACUUACGUAAUGGCUGAAAAAUUAGACAAACAUUACAUCAAAAUUUAAAAUUUGUAUAAUUAAUGAGUUUAAGUGCUUCAAAAUUUUGUAAGUUUAUAGAAAUUUAUUGGUGUCUGGCAUUUUAAUUGACAAGAGGGAGUAAUAUUUUUAAAGAUUAACAAGAGUAUUGUCAUCUUAAACAAAACUCUUGCUAUUCCAAUAUUUUGAGCAUAUUUGAAAAGUCACAUAGGAAUUGAAUUUGGGUGUAAUUACGUAGUAUAGAAUAUUUGUCUGGCAAGGUAAUUAAUUGGUCAGCAUAUAAUUGAGUGUAAUUGGAGAUGUGUAAUUGCACUCUCUAAUUCUCAAAUGGGAAGGUGAGCGAAAACUUGUGGUAAUUACACUGUAUAAUUACAAGGUUACUUUUAAAUUUCUUUCCAUUUUUUUAUUUUAAUUUAUUUUCUUUAUAACUUUUUAUUUUCAUUAUUUUAUUUUUAUGUUUUUAUUUAUUUUGAAAUAUUUUUUUGUACGUUAUGUAUCUUUUAUUUCAGUACCUUUACUUCUUGUGAUUUCAUGUAGUUGCUCGUAUUUUUAUUUCUUAUUUAUUGUAUUUUCUUCAUUUAGCAUAAUUGCAAUUAUUAUUCUAAUUUUUAAAACUACACCCCCUAAUAUUAGAAAUAAUGAGUCAUUAACAAAUUUGGCAUGUAAUGAGUGAAAAUUUCGUUCUGGAAUGAGAUUAUAAACUUAUUAUGUUUGCUAAUAAGUUGUAUUGGAAUUUAUUUUUAUUAUAUAUAUUGGAAUUUGACAUAUGUACAAUUUUUUUUAUGGGGGGGAGGGGGGGAUUAUAAAAGUGUGCCAUAUUUAUAGUUCCAAUUUACUUGUUCGGUAGCAUUGACUUGUUAUUUGCAUUGCACGUUGUUCAUUUUUUAUUUAGAAUUGAUAGAUUAGUUUUGUCAAACAUUUACAUAAUGUUAUGGUUUAAUUUAUUUUAUCAAACACGCAUUUCACGAUGUUCUUACAAAAUAUAUAUUUUUAAUUUUUUAUAAAUAAGUAAACAAAAUGUUAUUAAUUUGAAAUAUAUAUAAAAAUUAUUUUAUAAUAUUAGUUAUGAAUAUAUAAUUAUUAAUUAGUGUACAUUCAAGCAAAAACAUGCAUCUUAAAUGUCAAAUCCAGUAUCAUUUAUACUUAUACAAAAUUAUUUAUAGGCGUAUAUUUAUUAUCUUUAACUUUAAGUUUUGAUAAUUCAUUUAAAAUUAAAUUUAACUGUGUAAUUACACUUGUGCAACCAAAUAACACGCUUGUAAUUACACUAAAAUUACGUUGUCACAAACAAACAAUUCGUCAUAAUUAGUGGACUAUGUAAUUACUAGGCUGCGUAAUUACUACCCUAGUAAUUAUAUCAAUUUCAUUUACCGGGUGGCUUUCCAAACAGAGACUUACAUUUGCGAGAAACCUUAGCUUUUUUCUGUUACUGAUAUUUAUGGAAUAUUAUUGCCAUUUGCUAAAAUUGAUUGCCUGACAUCUUUAACCUGCAUAGUUAUGUGAAAGGUUGGAUACCUUUAAGAGCAUUUUUUGUUGCCUCCCGUUGAUGAAAGGUUGGAUACCUGAAAGGUUGGUCAUUUCCAUGUGAAUGAUGGUUGAGCAAUAACACAGCUUUCACAGUUAUCCUUUACUUGAUUUUUUGUUGCCUCCUGUUGAUGAAAGGUUGGAUACCUGAAAGGUUGGUCAUUUCCAUGUGAAUGAUGGUUGAGCAAUAACACAGCUUUCACAGUUAUCCUUUACUUGUUUGGAUCAUAAAACAGAACAAAACAUCACACACAAAAAUAGCAAAAUGGAAAGAUUUGAACCUUUUACCAGCUGUUUUAGAGGUAAAUUCCUUUUUUGGAUUGAACAGUCCUCGGCAUACAGUGGAAUUAAAUGUUGUAUUAAAGCUCAGACUUUGGUGAAACCUCAUAAUUUGCUUGUCCCAAUAUUGUAUAUAAUAGAGUUCCCUAUUGAUUUCAUAUUUUUUAAAAAGAAAUUCUAUGUUUUUGGGACAGAUUACUGCAUUUGCUUCCUACGUACACUACAGUGUCAUACUCGUGAAAACACAGAAGGUGUCGGGAGCAACUCCAAAUAGCUGAUUGAACUUAUUAUUAAUUGACCCUUUUAACUUUUGAUUAAUUUGAAGCUUAUAGUUGACUGAAAUUACUGUAUAGUGAGGUUUUAAACUAGAUAGACAUUAGUCGAUAUAAUUUUUUUUUUUGAUGACAAAGGGGAGCUUAGAACAACUUCAGGUCAUGAGUUCGAGCGGUGGAAUCAGUCACUGUUCAGGAAAGGGCCGGACAAUAAAGGUUUAUUAUACGCAACAUUACCCUGCAUUUGUGCAAGAUGUUGUUUUCACGGCCAGAAAACAUGAUCUCCUAAUCACAUGACUAUAAAUUUACUAGUUACACCAAAAGCUCCUAUUCUACAGCUUUACAAGUAUCAAGUAACUUUAUAGACGGUCUGGAUUCACCUACUGUUGUUUCUGCCCUAAUUUUAAUCUUAGUUUCCAAGGUUGUCAAUCUAAAUGCAUUUUGGUACCAAUCUAACUCUUCUUUAGUUAAACAACACUCUUUCUGUUAUUUUCUUUAAUUAAUCAUAUAAUCAAUCUACGGUUGGUUAUAAGCUAAUCCCGUUUUACUGUUAGUGCUGUUACUCAAAUCUUCUAAAAGACUCAGAAGCCAUGCCAUUGGCAGGUCCAAGUAGGCAUUUGAAAUUAAAUAGAAACUGUUUGGGAGAAAAAGCAGCAAUAUAGGAAAGAAAAGGAAGGGAGAGGUAUGGAGCAUUUCUGUCUUUAACAGGCUGUGUGUAAAUUGCCUUUCCUAAAGGUCCAAGUUCUCUGUUUUAAGAACAGACACUAGUCAUAUCAACAAUCUGAACAUAAAUUAUUGGAUUUUAUUACACACAUAUUAUUUGCAUUUCAUUAUGCUCACAUACUAUUGUUUAUGCAAAAGUAAUGAGGUUACAAGAGUAUGGAGAUUCUCCUGUCAGUUUCUGUAGCCUUUUGCUGACAUUUUGAUCCUGGUCCUAUGCUACCAACUUACUAGCCUGCAGACAAAUUGCUUGAAAACCAUCAGAGUUUUCUGCCUAAGAUGCCCUCUUGUUCAAUCAAUUGAAAGGCAGAACGAAUGGCUAAGUCUUCAACAAGAACAACUUAGAAAAAAAAGAUCUAAAGUAAAUAUACUAACAACAACAACAACAACUACCCAGUAUAGUCCCACAAAAUGGGGUUUGGGGAGGGUAAUAUGN